rnacentral:tRNA from 1 species
GCCCCCAUAGUUGAAGCACAACGAAAGCUUUUCAAGCUUUAAGUUUGAGUUAGAGUCUCAAUGGGAGC